GUCGCCGUGGUGCUGCUGCUCAGUGGGAGCGGGUCUUCGCAACUGUCUCCGCGUGGCGCGCGCCUCUAGCCGCCCUUCCCCUGGCGGCUACGGCUGGAGGGAGCGGAGGCGAGCGGGAGUCGGGCUCCAUGGAGAGCGGCGGACAACUGGGCAGAGGCGGAGCUUUCAUCUCGGCACCCUGGUUCCAGUGACCCGCGCUAGCGUCCCGUCCCGCCCGCGUCGGAGCGGCCGCCGGCCCCGGGACUGACCGGCCUCGCCGCACCUCCCGCACCGACUAGCGCUCCCGGGCGCUCCUGCGCCCGACUCGCCCUCGCCCCCACUCCCCGGCGGGGUGGCGGCGGCCGGGCCCCCACGGCGGCGGCCGGAGCAGCAGCAGCAGCAGCAGGAGCCCGCCUCUAUGAUGAAGUUCAAGCCCAACCAGACGCGGACCUACGACCGCGAGGGCUUCAAGAAGCGGGCGGCGUGCCUGUGCUUCCGGAGCGAGCAGGAGGACGAGGUGCUGCUGGUGAGUAGCAGCCGGUACCCAGACCAGUGGAUUGUCCCAGGAGGAGGAAUGGAACCCGAGGAGGAACCUGGCGGUGCUGCCGUGAGGGAAGUUUAUGAGGAGGCUGGAGUCAAAGGAAAACUAGGCAGACUUCUGGGCAUAUUUGAGCAGAACCAAGACCGAAAGCACAGAACAUAUGUUUAUGUUCUAACAGUCACUGAAAUAUUAGAAGAUUGGGAAGAUUCUGUUAAUAUUGGAAGGAAGAGAGAGUGGUUCAAAGUAGAAGAUGCUAUCAAAGUUCUCCAGUGUCAUAAACCUGUACAUGCAGAGUAUCUGGAAAAGCUAAAGCUGGGUUGUUCCCCAGCCAAUGGAAAUUCUACAGUCCCUUCCCUUCCGGAUAAUAAUGCCUUGUUUGUAACCGCUGCACAGACCUCUGGGUUGCCAUCUAGUGUAAGAUAGAGAGAACUGGGUAGGCCUCUCCCACCAUGUGCAGUCUCAUGGGGAGAGGCUUCUUUCGUUUCCUCGUCAAACAUCUGAUUGACGCUUGCAAACUGUCUGAAUUUGCCAUGCAAGGUUUUCAAACAAUUUGCAUGUUUUUCAGAUGCUUUCAAAUCUUUUUUUAAAAAAAUAGUGUAAAAUAUUUUAAUAAGCCAAAGCCAUGUGGAAUUUUUGUUUAGAUGCCUUAACUGUGCCACACCCCACAACCCCCUAUAUUAUUUUGGUUGUCUAUUUCUCACAGCAUAUUUUCAGUUUUUUGUCCAUUUGACAUCAGUCUGUGGUUUAUUUUGUCAUCAGAUUACUUGUGGGUAUACCUACCCCAAAAUUGUUUUCUCAUUCACAGCAUUAGCAUAUUCAGCAAAUCCAUCUGUGGUGGGAAUUAAAAAUAUUAUUGGUUUUAAAGAAAUCCAUUCACCCCAAAACUUGUUUUACAGGAUUACAAUUUUAAUUCAAAAUUUCCAGAUUUGGGCUAUUUCUGUAUGAUCCAAUAACUUAUUUUGUCACAGGGCUUAAUUUGCCAUUUUUGGGGAUUUGUCGACUCAUUUUGUCUGAAUUUUCACAACUGGUAUUAUGUCACUAGCUACCUGAUAUGGCUAUUUCCCUUAUAACUCAAUAGUACCUUAACACAAAGUAUAACUCUGUAGAGUUGGUGAAUAUUUUAGGGAAAUAUUAGCAAAAUGCAUGUAGUAAAGACAUCUUAUGAAAACUGUAUUCAUGGAAUUUGAUUUAGCAUGCUCAGUUGCCAGUUCCCAUUAUCGAUACUCUUUCUAUGCAGAAUACCUUAGAACCGUUAUUUCCCUCAGUGUAGAUUGCUCUUAAAAUGUAUUCAGUUAUUUAGUGGCCCCCACAGGAGUGGAGUCUUGAAAUCUAAUUCUAAAUGCCAGUCAGUGAUGAUCGCAUCACAGUUGAGUGAAAUGGCCUUCCUGUUCAGCUGUUAGAGACUGAAGAUUGUUAGGGCACCUUAGAAUGUCUCAUCUUUUCUAGGUUGUCAACAGGUACUAUUUGUCACAUAACUAACUUUCGAGGCACUGGAACAUACCUGAACUAAGAAUUAAGUCUUUUACUUUAUACUCACUUAAAAUCAAGAAUCCCAUCUAAAACACAUAGGUACCUUAUCUGAAACUCUUGCACUUCCCCAACCAGGGCAGAAAUGAGGUGGGAGAAGUUUGACUAAAAUGAGGGAUGGGGGAAAGUAAAAGAUGUUUUUUUUUUUUUUGAGACUCGCUUUGUCACCCAGGCUGGAGUGCAAUGGCACAAUCUCAACUCACCGCAACCUCCGCCUCCCAGGUUCAAGCGAUUCUCCUGCCUCAGCCUCCCGAGUAGUUGGGAUUACAGGAGCCUGCCUCCAUGCCUGGCUAAUUUUGUAUUUUUAGUAGAGACAGGGUUUCUUCAUGUUGGUCAGGCUGGUCUCAAACUCCUAACCUCGUGAUCCGCCUGCCUCGACCUCCCAAAGUGCUGGUAUUACAGGCAUGAGCCACCAUGCCCAGCCAAAGAUCAUUUUUUUAUAUAGACUUCAGCCCUUUGUAAAUAUUGUAACUGGGGAGUAUAGAGUAGAAAAAAAGUAUAGUUAAAACAUUUGUUCUACAAAUUAACCUUUAAAAAUAUAAUUACUGCUAAAAAUAGAGUGCUGUUACACUUAAGGAAAAUUAGUGCCAUUUUGGAAAUGAGAUCUUGUGCCAUAAAUACAGCUGAACUGAAUAUAAAUGUUCACAAAUUAAUGCUGUCAAAGGAAUGAGUAAAGCAGAAAAACUUUUAACCAGCAACAUUUCAAGUACGUAGUGUGAUCAAACAUGAUCAUCCAGAAUUUGUAUAUUUUUUUCUUUGUACAGAGGUUACAUAUUCUGGGUGUUCUUUUAUAAAGGAAACAUUUUAAAUCCCACAAAUUGACACUUUCUAUCUUCAAUGGACUAAGAUUUUUUUGGUCAGUAAUCUCUGAAAUUUCCUUAAAUUAUAUACUUAACAUAGCAGAGAAACUGGAUUGUUUUUGUAUAUAAGACUGCUUCCACCUGAAAUGCUGUCAUAAGUACUGGGGGGGUGGGGGAGUGCCCAUCUUGUACAUGAUAUUCUUAGAGGUAAUAAGGUAAUGAUGCAUGAAUUUAUUUUAUAAACUCUUGGACUAUGUAUUUGACAUGUAAAAUAUGUACAGUAUUAACGUCAACCAUCUCUUUAAAGUUAGCCUAUAAAUAUUGUUGUAUAAUUUUCUUUGGUCAGAAACACUUGUACUGAAUAGUGACACUCGGUAAGGAUUUUCAGUGCCAUUUAGCAAAACGUCUUUAGUCUAUGCAACUAGCAAAAAUCUGCAUAAUGCAACAACACAGUUUUCACACUUCAAAUUUUACAUGAGGGGUUCUUCACGAUUCUCCUGGAACCCAGUCUAGCAAAAUGAGAGGAAAGGCCCUAGGGAGAUUUAUUUCUGUUAAGUAGUUAACUCUGCUGAGUAUGACAAAUAGUGUCUACUAUCUCAACCCUCCAAAAUUUGCAGAGUGUUGGGACUGUCAUUUGUGAUUUUUUUUUUUUUUUUUUGGUGGGGUAGUUGAAUAAAAUUGGGCAGCUAAAUUUUUCAGUUCCAUGUGCCUCCCAAAUAAAAAACAGAAAAUAAGUAGUUUUUGUGAAUUGACUUGCAGACAAAGUAGAAACUGUGCUGCAUGAUGUUAUUUUGUAAACAGAUGACAUUUUCUGACCAGGCACAUGCCAUCCAAUUUUCUGUCAAUCACACUGUUGUAUAAAGCAGCAGAACUGAAGGGGAAAAAUGAUUGUUGUAUACACUGAAUUGCUUUGCAUGGUCUCAUUUGAGAUAAUUGAUGUAAGCAUCCUGACUUUUUUAUAUUUGGAAACAUCAAAUAAAAAUGGAAAAAA